CUGCUUUGUCCUAUCUGUUGACGACGGGCAUAAUUACGAUAGAUGACUACAACUCAGCAGAUCUGAAUAAUUGCCAGAGACAACUCAAAGCUGAGCAGUUCUGGUCAUCAGAGCUAUAUGAUCGUGUGGAGUCGUUUCAAAAACAGCUCAGCUCCUUGACUACAACAAAGAAGAGGCCUCGUUCAGAGAGUAAUGAUGAUAGCACUCCAACAACUAAAUGUGUGAAUAAAUCAGAGGAUGGCCUCAACGACACUCCGGGUUCGCUGCCGCCAAACAAAGAAACAUCAACCAAUGAAACAGAUCACAGCUCCAGCAAAGAAAUAAUAUCUCAGCCUGUUGCCCGCAGAGCUUUACUCUUUAAAGACUAAAUGCACGGAUCACAUGGUGCGUAGACAGGACUAAUGUUGCUCAAAUGUGAGCAUACGUGCACGUGUUCAAGGAGUUUUGCCCUCUGUCUAUGCCUCAAGUCUCAAUGAUGGCUCUCCAUAUUAUCGCUACCAUGUCUUAUUUGUUUUGUUUGCUCAGCAAAUGUUUUGUUGUACAAGAAUUAGACGACACUGGACCUGUAUAAUUAUAUCCUACUCAUGCAGUUUAUUAUGUAAGUUUCGAAUGAUGUUAUCUGUUUCUAUUAAUAUCAUAUCAUGUAU